GUGCUCACUUCAGCAGCACAUAUACUGAUAUUGGAAUGAUACAGAGGUUAGCAUGGCCCCUAGCAAGGAUGACACGCAAAUUUGUGAAGCAUUUCAUAUUAAA